GAUGAACGCUGGCGGUAUGCUUAACACAUGCAAGUCGAACGAAGUCUUCGGACUUAGUGGCGGACGGGUGAGUAACGCGUGAGAAUCUGCCUACAGAUUGGGGAUAACGUCGGGAAACUGACGCUAAUACCGAAUAUGCCGAGAGGUAAAAGAUUUAUUGUCUGUAGAUGAGCUCGCGUCUGAUUAGCUAGUUGGUGGGGUAAAGGCCUACCAAGGCGACGAUCAGUAACUGGUCUGAGAGGAUGACCAGUCACACUGGGACUGAGACACGGCCCAGACUCCUACGGGAGGCAGCAGUGGGGAAUUUUCCGCAAUGGGCGAAAGCCUGACGGAGCAAUACCGCGUGCGGGAGGAAGCUUUUUGGAGUGUAAACCGCUUUUCUCAGGGAAGAUGAUGACGGUACCUGAGGAAUCAGCAUCGGCUAACUUCGUGCCAGCAGCCGCGGUAAU
rnacentral:rRNA from 1 species